UACGUAGGGGGCCAGCGUUGCUCGGAAUUACUGGGCGUAAAGGGUUCGUAGGUGGUGCGGCAAGUUGGGAGUGAAAUCUCUGGGCUUAACUCAGAGGCUGCUUUCAAAACUGCCGCGCUCGAGUGCGAGAGAGGUCAGUGGAAUUGCAGGUGUAGCGGUGAAAUGCGUAGAUAUGUGGAGGAACACCGAUGGCGAAGGCAGCCCCCUGGGUUAACACUGACGCUCAUGCACGAAAGCGUGGGGAGCAAACAGG
rnacentral:rRNA from 1 species